GACGAACGCUGGCGGCGUGCCUAAUACAUGCAAGUAGAACGCUGAAGGAGGAGCUUUCUUCUCUGGAUGAGUUGCGAACGGGUGAGUAACGCGUAGGUAACCUGCCUGGUAGCGGGGGAUAACUAUUGGAAACGAUAGCUAAUACCGCAUAAGAGUAGAUGUCGCAUGACAUUUGCUUAAAAGGUGCAAUUUCAUCACUACCAGAUGGACCUGCGUUGUAUUAGCUAGUUGGUGAGGUAACGGCUCACCAAGGCAACGAUACAUAGCCGACCUGAGAGGGUGAUCGGCCACACUGGGACCGGGACCAGGCCCAGACUCCUACGGGAGGCAGCCGUAGGGAAUCUUUGGCAAUGGACGGAAGUCUGAACGAGCAAAGCCGGGUGAGUGAAGAAGGUUUUCGGAUUGUAAAGAUCCGUUGUAAGAGAAGAACGAGUGUGAGAGUGGAAAGUUCACACUGUGACGGUAUCUUACCAGAAAGGGACGGCUAACUACGUG
rnacentral:rRNA from 1 species